rnacentral:rRNA from 1 species
AUCUUCGGCAAUGGACGAAAGUCUGACCGAGCGACGCCGCGUGUGGGAUGAAGGUCUUCGGAUCGUAAACCACUGUCGAGGGGGAUUAAGGGCAACUUGAAAGAACCCUGGAGGAAGGGGAGGCUAAGCUCGUGCCAGCAGCCGCGGUAAGACGAGCUCCCCAAACGUUAUUCGGUAUCACUGGGCUUAAAGAGUUCGUAGGCGGCGAAGUAGGUGAGGUGUGAAAGCCCUCGGCUCAACCGAGGAACUGCGCUUCAAACCGCUUUGCUAGAGGGAGAUAGGGGUAAGCGGAACAGAUGGUGGAGCGGUGAAAUGCAUUGAUAUCAUCUGGAACACCGGUGGCGAAAGCGGCUUACUGGGUCUUUUCUGACGCUGAGGAGCGAAAGCUAGGGUAGCGAACGGGAUUAGAUACCCCGGUAGUCCUAGCCGUAAACGAUGAGCACUAGUCUGAGGACUUUCACGGUUUCUCGGACGUAGCGAAAGUGUUAAGUGCUCCGCCUGGGGAGUAUGGUCGCAAGGCUGAAACUCAAAGGAA